rnacentral:rRNA from 1 species
GACGAACGCUGGCGGCGUGCUUAACACAUGCAAGUCGAACGGAAAGGCCCUGCUUUUGUGGGGUGCCCGAGUGGCGAACGGGUGAGUAACACGUGAGUAACCUGCCCUUGACUUUGGGAUAACUUCAGGUAACUGGGGCUAAUACCGGAUAGGAGCUCCUGCUGCAUGGUGGGGGUUGGAAAGUUUCGGCGGUUGGGGAUGGACUCGCGGCUUAUCAGCUUGUUGGUGGGGUAGUGGCUUACCAAGGCUUUGACGGGUAGCCGGCCUGAGAGGGUGACCGGCCACAUUGGGACUGAGAUACGGCCCAGACUCCUACGGGAGGCAGCAGUGGGGAAUAUUGCACAAUGGGCGGAAGCCUGAUGCAGCAACGCCGCGUGCGGGAUGACGGCCUUCGGGUUGUAAACCGCUUUCGCCUGUGACGAAGCGUGAGUGACGGUAAUGGGUAAAGAAGCACCGGCUAACUACGUG